GACGAACGCUGGCGGCGUGCUUAACACAUGCAAGUCGAACGGAGCGAUUUAUUUCGGUAAAUCGCUUAGUGGCAAACGGGUGAGUAACGCGUAGGCAACCUGCCCUCAGGAUGGGGACAACGGCUCGAAAGAGCCGCUAAUACCGAAUGACGUAACUCUUCCACAUGGAAGAGAUACUAAAGAUGGGUCAAACCAUCGCCUAAGGAUGGGCCUGCGUCUGAUUAGCCAGUUGGUGAGGUAACGGCUCACCAAAGCGACGAUCAGUAGCCGGUCUGAGAGGAUGAACGGCCACAAUGGGACUGAGACACGGCCCAUACUCCUACGGGAGGCAGCAGUGGGGAAUCUUCCGCAAUGGGCGGAAGCCUGACGGAGCAACGCCGCGUGAGUGAAGAAGGUCUUCGGAUCGUAAAGCUCUGUUGUCGGGGACGAAAGAGUAGACGAGGUAAUGCGUUUACUAAGACGGUACC
rnacentral:rRNA from 1 species